UCUGAGCUCAUGCAGAAACCUGAAUAAUCCAUAAUUCCGCAGUUUCCACGUUCAUGAAUACUCGAAAACACGAUUCACCGUAAAUAGAAAAGAAUCGUAAUGUAUAAAACAAAUGGAUAAAUUCCUUCUUUUUGUUUUUAUUUCUCCUAUGCCUUUUUUUUUUCUUUUUUCUUUUCCUUUACCACGGAAGAAUGAUCUCAUUACGAUAUAUACGGUAUAUAAACAACAAUAUAUCGACAAAAACAAAAGUGUUCAAAGUCAAACCGAACAUCGGUAAUACAUAUAAUAUUUAUUACAAAUAUAAAUUAACCAAAAUACUUUUGUAAACGUACGUAGAAGGAGAGAGAGAAAGAGAGAUUGAGAGAGAGAGAGAGAGAGAGACAGAGAGAGAGAGAGAGAGAGAGAGAGAGAGAGAGAGAGAGAGAGAAUGAAUAACAUAUACCAAAUUAGAAAUGAUUUCCUUGUCGUGCGAAUAAUUGUCGAGAGAAGGGAAACGAUUAAAGUAGAUGUUCAUAAAUUAUAGAAAAUAAGGCAUCGAACGACCUCGCCGCAAACAUAAUUAUUCGAAGACCACAAGCGAACCAAACGCCUGCCUGUCCGCCUUCUAUUCUCUGGACAGUUCCGGAAAGAUCAAAGGGGUUGAAAGCGAUGGAGCGCAACACGUAGAUCAUGGUUGACCACGACGAGCUCUAGUGGUGGUGAUGGUGGUGGUGGUCCUCGAUCGUCGAGGUGCUAGUCGAGCUGGACGUUAGAGAGAUCGAAACCCGAUCAUUUCAUUUUUUCACAUCAACUUUAACAACGACGAAGACGAAGACGACGAUAUCGAAGAACAUCGUCUCCCUUAAUCCAUCCUUCGACAACCCCCGACGCCCUUACCCUCUUUUUGAAGUCCUCCAAAGACACUCAGUUUUUUUUUAUCGUUCAUCAAUAAUUUUCUUACUAAAAGAGAAGAACUCUAUUUCGUAGGAAUAAGUUAAGAUAACUAUUGCCAAUGGAAUGAUAACUUGACAUUUAAAUUAUUCUUCCUUAAAAAAA